rnacentral:rRNA from 1 species
AUUGAACGCUGGCGGCAGGCCUAACACAUGCAAGUCGAGCGAGCGGCGGACGGGUGAGUAAUGUAUGGGGACUGCCCGAUAGAGGGGGAUAACUACUGGAAACGGUAGCUAAUACCGCAUACUAUCGGAUAACCCAUAUGGGAUUAGCUAGUAGGUGAGGUAAUGGCUCACUUAGGCGACGAUCCCUAGCUGGUCUGAGAGGAUGAUCCGCCAAAAUGGGCAUGAGACACGGCCCAGACACCUACGGAGGCAGCAGUGGGGAAUAUUGAACAAUGGUCGCAACCCUGAUGCAGCCAUGCCGCGUGUAGGAAGAAGGACCUAGGGUUGUAAAGUACUUUCAGGCGGGAGGCGGUACCGACAGAAGAAGCACCGGCUAACUCCGUGCCAGCAGCCGCGGUAAUUC